rnacentral:rRNA from 1 species
CCUACGGGAGGCAGCAGUGGGGAAUAUUGCGCAAUGGGCGAAAGCCUGACGCAGCGACGCCGCGUGGGGGAUGAAGGUCUUCGGAUUGUAAACUCCUGUUAAGUGGGAAGAAAGAAUUGCUUUUAAUAGAAGCAAGUGAUGACGGUACCAUUAGAGAAAGCACCGGCUAACUUCGUGCCAGCAGCCGCGGUAAUACGAGGGGUGCUAGCGUUAUUCGGAAUCAUUGGGCGUAAAGGGUGUGUAGACGGCGUAUCAAGUCAACUGUUAAAUUCUCCGGCCUAACUGGAGGUCUGCGGUAGAAACUGAUGUGCUAGAGGGUGGAAGAGAGAAGUGGAAUUCUCGGAGUAGCGGUAAAAUGCGUAGAUCUCGAGAGGAACACCGAUGGCGAAGGCAGCUUCUUGGUCCACUCCUGACGUUGAGACACGAAAGCGUGGGGAGCAAACAGGAUUAGAUGCCCUGGUAGUCCACGCUGUAAACGAUGAUCACUAGACGUCAGCUCUGUUUUGCAGGGUUGGUGUCGCAGCUAACGCGUUAAGUGAUCCGCCUGGGGAGUACGGUCGCAAGAUUAAAACUCAAAGGAAUUGACGGGG